GUGUCAGCCGCCGCGGUAAGACAGAGGGUGCAAACGUUGCUCGGAAUUACUGGGCGUAAAGCGCGUGUAGGCGGGUUGGUAAGUCAGACGUGAAAUCCCCGAGCUCAACUCGGGAACUGCAUUUGAAACUGCCAGCCUAGAGUGGUGGAGAGGGUAGCGGAAUUCCUGGUGUAGAAGUGAAAUUCGUAGAUAUCAGGAGGAACACCGGUGGCGAAGGCGACUACCUGGACACCAACUGACGCUGAGACGCGAAAGCGUGGGGAGCAAACAGGAUUAGAUACCCGCGUAGUCC
rnacentral:rRNA from 1 species